rnacentral:misc_RNA from 1 species
AAGUCGUAACAAGGUUUCCGUAGGUGAACCUGCGGAAGGAUCAUUAACAUGAAUACCCAAUUCUAUAAACCACUUUACUCGUUCGUUUUGGCCUUUCGGGGUCAGAGCGGAUGGUGAACUAUGAAGGCUUUCUUCCGGCGCUUCGGCGUUGGCCCUGUCUAAGAUGGAUAGAUGCUAUCAGGGAGCGGGAAGUCGGCUGGCAGUGCUAUCUCAGGUGCGCUGUCGGCUAAAUUAGCAUUUGUCUACCAAUUAACCACACAUACCUUUUUGACAGAAACUUUUUUUCUUAUUGGCUUCGGCUGAUUUGGAAAUCUAAAAAUCUAUACAACUUUUAGCAAUGGAUGUCUAGGUUCUC